rnacentral:lncRNA from 1 species
CAAACUUCCUGAAGUUAGUUUAUGGUAUUCCAAAGCAAUACAGUCCUUGUCGGACUCUAGAGCACAGAAAAAGAUAAACCUAGAUUGGAAAAAAGAGAUCUGGACCAUCUGGUUAUUUUACAAGAUCAGCUGUCAAAAAGAGGGUACUCAUUAGGCUCCUGUAACAUAAUGCUGUAUUUCUUCAUUCAACUGUCACCAAUUUGGGGAUUUUACAGACUUUACUGCGCAGCAGGUCAAAAUAAUUGCUUUUCAGAGAAAGAGAAGACUAGACGUACAAACAGUAAGCAUCAGUGUGUGAACUAAACACACUUCCAAAGAAACAUCAGAUUUAACCACCUUCAUAUGCCUGAUGCCACCUACAUCAUAAGAGACCUGCCAAAGUAAUAAACGGAAAAAAAAAAAAGAAAAAAGGAGAGAGAGAGAGAGAGAGAGAGAGAGAGAGAGAGAGAGAGAGACGGAAUCAGGAUUUGAAAUUUUCUCCCUGCUCCUCCUCACCCCCAACAACUUCAUUGUACAACCAACUACUUCAAACAAUCAACAAAUAUGUGAGCGAGAGAGAAAGGAGAGAAGAUGAGAGAUGGUCUGUCUGAGGUAAACGAAAUACCACCUUAAACGAUCACAGUCAGUGACGUCCAGUCAUAUGACCAUUGCAGCAGCCAAAAUAACUACACCUAAUUCCAUCCGGUUUAUAACAUCAUUCUUCCUGCUAUCCAUCUCGGACCAAUAUGAACUACUCCAACUCUGUUUUUGGUAGCUUCUUACUACCGUCCAAGUUCAGAGUAUCAGCCAGGUUGUCUGACAGUUGAUUAAUUGGAUCAGCAAGAGCAAUAGUAGAGUUUCCUGUCACACUAGCUCGUUGCUUUGCCUUCUUUUCCAACAAGGCUUUCUCCCGCUCAUCAUAGAAUGUAAAAUCAUCUAAAAGGGAUGUAUCAGCUUCAUAGUCCUUGAAAAUCUUAAGCAUUUCAAUUCCAUGCUCAAGUUUCACCUGGAUAGAAAUCAGUGGUUAGUCAUAAUGGGAAAAUAGCAAAUUCAACAAAAUAAUUUAAAGCAGUUACUAGGAAGGAUCAAAACUUUGAAAAACUUGCUAGAACUCUCAAAAGUAUCAAGCUUUGUCUGUAACCUCUAGAAAGAUGGAUGACAUUUAUCUCAACAUCCCAAAGGGCCUAUACAAGACCCACAUGUCAAUGGUGACACAAAAACCAAAGACAAGUAGAUCAAUUAGUGUUUUCCACCCAUGCUCGGAAUUUUCUUGAGCAAAAAAGAUGCUGUUUCAAAACCAUGUCUAAUUCUUUGUGCUCAUUACAAAUUUUGGGACGGUAGAGGUGGGGGAAGAGGAGAUAAAUAAGAUGUAACUCUAAUUUAAGGGGAUAAUUCAAAGCUCAACAGCUUCAUACUCAGAAACACAAUUUCAGGACACAAGUAAAACAAAUACAGAACCCCUCACCUCUUGAGAGUCUCGACUGUGAGUAACAGGCUUGUUGUCAUUAUUUUCAAGAAGUAUGUGGCGGAACCGACUAUUGGGCACAUCUUUGACAACAUGCCAUUUCACAGGGAACUGCCCGCUCCACCUAUCCUGCUGCCAGUACUCCGCAUCAUUUUCAAAAUCAACAGGUCCAACCAUCUCAGCUAUCCCACAAAACUGUCCACUAGCAUUUACCUGAAGGAUACAAAUAGUACAUCGGCAAAAGGUCUUUAAACUAUCAAAUUAAUGCCCAGGGUAAGGUUGAGGCAAUGAAAAAGCUAUGUAUCUAGUAUAAUUAUAAAAAAAAUAAAUAAAUACUGUUUACAUUCAAUAAGGUCACUUUUGGUUACACGUAGUGAGUUCAUUCUUCCAUUAGCCGAUUCACAAUGGAUCUUGGUCAUUGAUGUGUAAGUUACACGACCUCACAAGUCCCCAGACCAUCUAUACAAAUAUUUACAGGUGUUUUCCCUAUCAGCAGGUUAAAGGCAAAAUUGCCACCACUCACCAGAAUGUUGGUUUAAAACAGCCCCUGUACCUAUUAACAAUGACCCAGCUUCCACCAGCAACUUAUUCUGAACUCUCUAACUAAAUGCUCCUUGUUCAUAUUCCUCAAAGUUGCUUUUCACUGCUUCUCAUGAACUUAUGUAUCACAUUACCUAACUUACAGUUAUAUGAAGAGAGGGACGCGGCAGAGGGGGGGGGGGGGAAGGGGGCGGAGAGAGCAUGAUCACAGAAUAUGAUUAUGAAGUGUCAGCAAAAAGGUACGAAUGUUGCUUCUAAAUGGAGACAGUAUGCAACCAUAUCCCUAUCAUCAUUCUGUUUCGUUGGCAUGAUGAACGCAACCUCAAGGCAGAAAAGAUCAAAUGGCGGAAACCAAACCAGCGCUUCACAUAAAUCUGAUCCAGAUGCUCAAAAACAUAGCCGAGAAAAAAAGGAAGACCGGGAGUUGCCUGUCAUGUCCUUAUGCUUCAUGAUAAGCAGUCUCAAGCUUUCGGUUCCAAGUGGUGUGGCUAGGCCAAAUGCCAUAACUUAAUUGCUCUUAGUGAACAUUAUCUUCACACUGAAAACUUGAUCACACAAAACUUGGCAUAUCUGGCAAUGAUCAGUACCAGGAGAACUCUGGCUUUGUACAUUGGUCAAGUCUGAAGCCAGAAGUAGCAGUCGAACAUCUUUACGUAUCCAGAUAAAGCAUUCUCUCAGCAGAAGUUUUUGCUCUUGUUGGGCUUUGAGGAGCCGCUAGUCCCUACUUUCUUAUACUAUGAAAUUCCUAAAGAAUCAUUAGAGUAGUUCAGAGCGUCCUAUUUCUCUAUCACGUUCCUCCUUACUACGACCGCCGUCUGCCGCUGGUUAUCCAGCUGAGAACUGGGGAACCGUGUAGGCAUAAUUGUCAUGCCCUGGGUAAGAGCCAGUGAUGUGGUAGAUGGUUGGCAGAGUGCAGGCUUGACGCUAGGCCCCCAGUCAACUUGAUUGUGCCUGCAAUCCAAACAAUUAAUUAACUAGAAUCAAGUGGUUCAGAAGCGAAAUCGCGAGGCCAAGUAGUUAAGCAAUUCAACAGAAAAGAAAAAAUACAAAGAGAAAGAAACAAAUUGAAAGUUGAUCUAGUUGCAGCUUUGAACAAAAAGUGCAGGAUGGCAUUAUAAAGAUGACAAAUAUUUCAACCUUCCAAAUAAAAAAAAAAGAUAGGCAAAAUUAAUAAACUAAAUUAGCAUAGACCUUCAAAAGGAAAGUAAGACAAAAUUAACAAACUAAAUUAGCAUAUCUCAUGUCAUUCGUUUGUCAGAUAGACAUUUUACAUACUAAUAAACAUGUAGCCAACAAUUACAUUUUACAUAUUAAUAAACAUGUAGCCAACAAUGUGUAAGGAAUAAAAUCUUUAAGCAACUAUGAAGAUGCAUUCUAGGAGUGCAGAAUGCUCAAUAUUUCAGGAAAAGAAAAGAAUUUGAAUGACGUUACUGAUGCAAUUGCCUGCCGCUAGUUUAACCACAAAAUGUAGAUGGCAUAGUCAUUUGGACAUGUGAUUUAAUUUUUUUUUAAAAAAAGAAGAGCAUGGGGCUAGACGCAGACCACCCUUUCAGACAUAGAGCAAUAGUGCAUUCUGCUUUUAAAUAAAUCCAGCAAUGACUGUCAAAAGAUUAUUACUCAACUACUAAAAUUUGUAAACUUCCAAACUUAUUCUGUUGGCAACAAACUCAAGAAAUAAGAAUAGAAAAAAUUCCGGCAAUGGUGGAGCACAAAGUAUCAAAAAUAUCAAGUACAAACAAGCAUCCUGGAUGCUACUUUUUCUUAGAUAUUCUUGUCACUUAAACAAAUACAUUUGAGUAACCAAUAAAAAUAGGCUGAUUAAGAUUAAGUCAAGUCAAGAAAUGAAGAAAAGAAUACAUGAAACAUGAAUAAUGCCCAAUUGCAAUGAAUUAUUUCAUGAACAAGAAGAGUUAUUCAGCUUCACGUCAUGUAAAGUUUACAAGAGGACAAGAAAUAUAUUUAAAAAACAAUAAUUGAUAUCAGAAAAAUAGUUCCAAUUAUUCUUCUCGCAGAUAUCACUACAUAGAAUCAAGGAGAUCAUGAGACAACUAACCUGAGCAAGAUUUUGCUCAUAUGGCCCAAGAAUGCCAAUUGGCUGUGGAUAUACCGCUCCUGAUGUUAACUGAGACAUGUACCUGCUUGAUUCCAGGGAACUUGAUUGAUUUGAUAAUCCUUCAGCAGACCCAAAAUCGCCUGGGAACUUAUAGAAACCAAGGCUACUAUUUCCAGAAAGGUCCCCUCCCCCAAAAGAUCCAAAAGGUACAUAGAAGCCUGAACUUGGCCCAAAAAGUGCAUUAUCAACUAAGCUUUCUUGUCCACUAGUUGCUGGUGCCAUUAGAUCAGUCUGUGAGACUGUAAGAGCUGAACUAACAUGUGGUAGUCCAGGUGAAACUGCUGGAAAAUAAGGUGGUGUCACUGGGAUCUGGUGCGGAGAGUAAAACUGGCCAUCAAUCAUUAUUGUGGAGAUUGGACUCGGAAUGGGAGAGAACUGUCCAUAUGCCAUCUGGGUGUCAUAGCCAUAACCAGGAGGGAAAAAUAGUGAUGGAUUUUCAUUAUACAUUCCCUACAUGUAGCAAAAUACCCAAUUUCAUAAACAGAAUAAAAAAGUCUGUCUCAUGCCUCUGUGCAUAAUUAGUCAAGGCAACAAUAUCAAAUUGAUGAAACUCACUGGAGGUACAACAUGUAAGCUGUUAGGAUUAACAUAGUUAGAAUGCUCAUCCCAGUUCCCAGUGCCAUUGUCAAGACCUGAACCAAGGAAAGAUGAAUAAUGAGUUUUAAGUACAACAAAAAAAAUGAUGAACAAUGAAAACUUUAUGUACAUUGGAGAAAAGUACAAGGAACCAAAAAAGCAAAACACAUGCCAAACUAACAAACAGUGAUUCAAAGAUGUGGAAGUUGAGAAAAAUUGGUACACUACAUAUCAGUACUAAAGUAAUUAAGCCCAAUAUUCACCUCAGUAUUACAGUUUCAAACUCGUGACAUGUUGACCAGAACCUUCACAAAGAGCAUAAGAUUCACAAAUUUUAUGCUGCUGAAACCCCAUGAAAAUAUUAAGCAAGAGGGAACAACACCCCUCUCUUGCAGCCAUAAAAAGGAGCAAAAAUAAUUGUAACACCCACAAAGCAAUACAACGCCCCAUGAAAGAAUGGCAGAUACACACAGUUCAACACAGUCGAAAGCUCUGUCAUGAGAACAGAACCAACAAAGAUAUCAUGUAGCCCACAUGUAUGGUCAGAGAAACGUUGAGAAGAAGACUAUAGCUGCUAAAUCAGCAAGAACAGCACUAUAAAAGGACCUAACCUCCAAAGUAAAAACUUUGUUCAUGCGGCACAUCAAGUGGAUGCACAGUGGUAAGAGCUCCACUCUUAUCCAAGGGAACAGGCUGAUCUUUGGCAUUUCUUGGAGCCCCUGAGAUGGCUGCAUCCGGAGAAGGAUUUGCAGAAAUAAUCCUUUCAUCUUUGGGCGAAAGUGGCUGAUAAUAGAUUGAAAAGGAAGUACUAAUAGACCUAAGCUAAUGGAGAAUUAGAGAAACAAAAGAAACACAGUACAAUCAUGAGUUAUAUGGAUUUACCUGUUCUGUCACAUUAUGCAAUUCAAUAGCUCGCUCCCCUGCAUUGAAACCAAAAAAUUCAUAAAGCAACCACACACUUAAUUGGUCAAGUAAGAAAGCAUGAUACCAUUCUUAUUUUCCUCUUUCUUAUCUAUUGCAGUGUGGGAAAGAAUAUUGACCUCAUUCCCACUUUAAAAUCAUCAAGAAUAUAAGUAAUACACCAAUUAUUUACCAGUAAUACAACAGACUAAGCAACCAUUAAGAAACAUUUAGUCUCAAAACGAACAUGUCAUCCCCAGAAGCAUUAGGUACAGGACAUAUAACAAUUGCAAAGUUUUCAACUGUUGAACAAAAUCACCAUGUCAUUAAUAGAUUCCCAACAUCCGCUUAUACAUAAAAGGGCCAUCUGCACAAACUCCACGUUGGAAACAUCCCCCCCCCCAAAACACAAUUCCCAUUACCAAAUAAUAGGGAGGUGGGAUUUAGUAAUUCUAUUAUGCCUGACUGUAAGAGAUUCCAAGAUUAGGCUAAGCUUUCAUCAGAAUGGGGACAAACAUGUGAUAAUACAAGUUCGACGAGAAAAAGCACCGUUUACUUUUUCGGCACACAAAAACAUCUUUCUGAUAAGGGCACAUCAAUCAAGAAAUUUUCUGCUGAGACCUUUCUGAGUAAACUUAACAUACAUGCCACCUUUCCACAUUUACGAAUACUACUGUUAUCACCUUUCCAGGAAAAGAAGCAUGCCAGCGAUAUUAAAACACCAUAAAUGAUCCUCAUUCUAUCUUGAACCCUAAUCAGCAUGCCAACGAUAAGCUUUUUUAAUGCAGAACCAAAUGAAUGGGCUACGACUCUACAGAAAGUCAUGAAGGUAGAUAAUAGCUGGAACAAGACAGCAGGACAGUACAUUGAUCUGUACAACACAUUGAGAGUCAAGUGGUAAUCAUCCUUCCAAGUCUCGUGGUGUAAAGGAAGGAUCUCUGUUUGUGUCAUAUAGCCUCUCUCGUUGAAGCUCCAACCGUGCUCUUUUUGGCUUGUCCUUAUUGUUUCUAACUCUUAGACGAGGUUUUUUGCGCUGUUGUUAAUAGAACACCUAGCGCCAUACAAAAGUUUCAAUAAAACAGAUGAAUAAAGGACUUUUCUCUCACUUGAAACCACAAGCGAAAAUGAAUCUGACAUUUUUUAACCUUAUUUCCAUACAAUUACAUUGUUGGAGACUGCAUUUUGUCAGCUUUACAAAUUUCAAUUUACGUCGCCACUAAAUUUUGACCCUGGAGUUCCAGGAUGGCAAGCUUAUACGAUAAGGGGGCAACAAUCUAACUUGAUUCGUUGCCUAACCAACCACUAGCUGCAAAAAUGAAAAAUGUAGGCAAACACAUGAGAAGUGGAAAUUGCCUCUUUAAGGGGGCAGGGAGGGGGAAAUGAAUGUCUUUCAUACUUCCAUAUCCUUGCCUUGUGCUUAAUUCACUCAUAAGGAAAAUCUCCUCCCUCACUUAUACCCUCCAAGAUGAACAACUGACAACAAUAAAAUCAGGUUGCAAACGUACAUGUAGAACAAAAACUUAGUUUAGCCAUCCUUCAAACAUCAAAAUAAGAUGCCAGUCCUUGUUGCACAAUGACAGACUUCCUGAAGUUAGUUUAUGGUAUUCCAAAGCAAUACAGUACUUGUCGGACUCUAGUGCACAGAAAAAGAUAAACCUAGAUUGGAAAAAAGAGAUCUGGACCAUCUGGUUAUUUUACAAGAUCAGCUGUCAAAAAGAGGGUACUCAUUAGGCUCCUGUAACAUAAUGCUGUAUUUCUUCAUUCAACUGUCACCAAUUUGGGGAUUUUACAGACUUUACUGCGCAGCAGGUCAAAAUAAUUGCUUUUCAGAGAAAGAGAAGACUAGACGUACAAACAGUAAGCAUCAGUGUGUGAACUAAACACACUUCCAAAGAAACAUCAGAUUUAACCACCUUCAUAUGCCUGAUGCCACCUACAUCAUAAGAGAACUGCCAAAGUAAUAAACGGAAAAAAAAAAAAAAAAAGGAGAGAGAGAGAGACGGAAUCAGGAUUUGAAAUUUUCUCCCUGCUCCUCCUCAUCCCCAACAACUUCAUUGUACAACCAACUACUUCAAACAAUCAACAAAUAUGUGAGCGAGAGAGAAAGGAGAGGAUGAGAGAUGGUCUGUCUGAG